UCUGGCAGGAGUAAACACAUCUUCAGCACAGAGAAGAUGAGGAAAGAUAGGUCUUUUUGAGGCUAAUCUCACUACGAGAAACUUGAAGAACAAGAUGCUCCCAAAACAGAAUCUUCAAAAUGGAUUUCCAGUGAUGCUUUGCAUUUUGUGGUAUAUCACCUGAGGAAAAGCACGACCUGAAAAUGAUUACAAAUUCAGCCUAAACUUACCAUAAAAUAAACAAUAUUUCCUCUUCAAAGUCAACUGAAAAAUCAAGAAGGAUGUAUUCCAGCUUCACCAAUCAAGUACAGUUCUUCAUCAAAGUUUCUUUGAGGAUGUCUUGGCGAUCUGACGACCACAAAACAGACUGUACUUGUCCACUCGCCUUCUCAUCUCUGACAGAUGCCCUCAGUCUCUAUGAGUUCCUCCUCCCAUGAUAACAUCAGGAAAUAUUACAUUUGAGUCUCACGGCAACUGAACAAUGUGUCAAGAUCAAAACAAGAGAGAGGAACUUUAAGGAUUGAGCUCAGCUAUACAAAAAAAAAGAAAAAGAGAAAAGAAAACAGGACAGAGUGAGCCAGCAGGGACAUAUAAGAGAAAUGUUUGACUUGAAGAACACGAUGUGUUUUCCCAAAGAGGUUUAUGGAAGGAAGCUUCAGUCGCAUACUCAUGUCGAAAUGAUGGCAUCACUGGAAGUUCUGCAUUCUUUGUGUACUUGACACUGAUGAUAAACUAUACAAUGUAUUGACACACAAUCACAGCAGGGAUGUGAGAGUUCAGAAAAUGACAUUGUUAAAUGUGUGACUCUAUAAAAAUUGUGGCAAGAUGCAAGGAGAAAUGCUAUGUGUAGACUAAGAAAAUAUUAGGUACAAAGGUGUACCUUUUGAAAAGGUACCGCCCCAGUGACAGCUUUUUUUCUGAGAGUGUAUGAUUAGAUCUGUGAUAAAACCAAACAGAAAUACAAAAAAACAAUAUUUUGCCUUGCUUUGAGUGUUCUUUUUGUUUGUCUUCCGUGCUUCUUCAGAACACUUUUACCACCAAUCAUAUUAACUAUCAAUCAAAUCAAAUCAGGGUAAUUAUAGUUAUUUAUCUUUAAUCAAGA